AGCUCCAGUAGCGUAUAUUAAAGUUGUUGCAGUUAAAAAGCUCGUAGUUGGAUUUCUGGAUUGGCGCGCUUGGCCGGCCACGGUUACGUGUGUCAGUGCCGGGACGCGCCUUCCUUCCUUCUAGAGAACGGGUCUACCCUUCACUGGGACGGACUCGCAAUCUAGAUCGUUUACUUUGAAAAAAUUAGAGUGUUUAAAGCAGGCUUGUGCUAUGAAUACAUUAGCAUGGAAUAAUAAUUUAGGACUUGGGUCCUAUUUUGUUGGUUUCUAGGACCGGAGUAAUGAUUGAUAGGGAUAGUUGGGGGUGCUAGUAUUCAGCGGCCAGAGGUGAAAUUCUUGGAUUCGCUGAAGACUAACUUAUGCGAAAGCAUUCACCAAGGAUGUCUUCUUUAAUCAAGAA
rnacentral:rRNA from 1 species